rnacentral:rRNA from 1 species
UACGUAGGGCGCAAGCGUUGUCCGGAAUUAUUGGGCGUAAAGAGCUCGUAGGCGGCUUGUCACGUCGAUUGUGAAAGCCCGAGGCUUAACCUCGGGUCUGCAGUCGAUACGGGCUAGCUAGAGUGUGGUAGGGGAGAUCGGAAUUCCUGGUGUAGCGGUGAAAUGCGCAGAUAUCAGGAGGAACACCGAUGGCGAAGGCAGAUCUCUGGGCCGUAACUGACGCUGAGGAGCGAAAGCGUGGGGAGCGAACAGG